ACUUAAAUAGCUUAUAUAAUAAGAGCAUGAUAUUGAAGAUAUUAAGGAAAUUGUUAAAUUUUUAAGUA
rnacentral:tRNA from 1 species